rnacentral:rRNA from 1 species
CAGCCGCCGCGGUAAUACCGGCGGCCCGAGUGGCGGUCACUAUUAUUGGGCUUAAAGCGUCCGUAGCCGGGGUGGGAAGUCCUCCGGGAAAUCUGGCCGCUUAACGGUCCGAAUGCCGGAGGAUACUCCCAGCCUAGGGAGCGGGAGAGGCCGAGGGGAUUCCCGGAGGAGGGGGGAAAUCCUAUAAUCCCGGGAGGACCACCUGUGGCGAAGGCGCUCGGCCGGAACGCGUCCGACGGUGAGGGACGAAGGCCAGGGGAGCAAACCGGAUUAGAUACCCGGGUAGUCCUGGCUGUAAACGAUGCGGACUUUGUGUCGGACAAGCUAUGAGCUUGUCCGGUGCCGGAGGGAAACCGUUAAGUCCGCCGCCUGGGGAGUACGGCCGCAAGGCUGAAACUUAAAGGAAUUGGCGGG